rnacentral:rRNA from 1 species
UCGUANAGGUUUCCGUAGGUGAACCUGCGGAAGGAUCAUUA